AAAAAUCUAAGUGUCAUGAGCAGUGACUUUUAGUAAUGGCUGUCAGUGGUAAAGGUUUACAGAAGAGAGAGGUUGUCAUGAACAGGAGAGAAUGCACAUCAGCAAAGGCAGAAUAUAUUUCCUAGGACAGCUGCCACAAAUUGCCACAAAGUUGAGACUUAAAACAACAGAACUUUCCUCUCAUCACUCUAGAGGUCACUGGGAAAGCCACAAGAUGUCAAUGUCUCAAAAUCUGAAAAUCAACAAAGAUGACAUGAUAAUUUGGUGUUCUGACACUAUCCUCGGCUUAGAACAUAGAACAAGGAUAGAUAAAUCAUUCAGAACGUAUUCUCCAACCACAGUGAAAUGAAGCAAAAAAAUUAACGACAAACAUCACUAGAAAAUUCUCACUCUUUGAAAAAUAAGCAAUAAGCAUAUAAAUAAUCCAAAUGUCAAAGAAGAAAUAACAAGGAAUAUUGGAAAGCAUUCUUAACUAAAUAAUAAUGAAAGCACAGACAUCAAACUUGUGAAAUAUAGUUAAAACUACGCUAAGGAUGAAAUUUAUAGUCAAAGUGCAUACUUUAGAAAUUAUGAUAAAAAAAAGAAAUUAUGAUGGGUUGGAAAUCAAUUACCUAAGUAUCUAAAUCCAAGAAACUGA